CACCUUUCUGCUUCCCUCUGACUAAACAAAAAAAAUUGUAUCUUGUUCUCUGAGACGUGGUCUUCAUCUGAACCUGAGGUACAGUGACACUGAGCUCAGUGGCCGGUCUGUGAUCUCCAGGGAUCCACCUGCCUGUGUGCCCCUUGCCCCAGCACUGGGGUUGCCUCCUGAUCCACAGGCUGAGCAGACCAGCUUUUAUGUGGGUGCUGGGACUCCAAACUCAGGUCACCAAGCUCACUCAGCAGGUGAUUUGCC
rnacentral:lncRNA from 1 species